GCUCCCGUAGCUUAACGGAUAGAGUGACGGUCUUCGGAACCGUUGGUGGAGGUUCGAUUCCUCCCGGGAGCACAA
rnacentral:tRNA from 1 species